GACGUAGGGCGCGAGCGUUGUCCGGAUUUAUUGGGCGUAAAGAGCUCGUAGGCGGUUUGUCGCGUCUGCUGUGAAAACUGGGGGCUCAACCCCCAGCCUGCAGUGGGUACGGGCAGACUAGAGUGCGGUAGGGGAGAUUGGAAUUCCUGGUGUAGCGGUGGAAUGCGCAGAUAUCAGGAGGAACACCGAUGGCGAAGGCAGAUCUCUGGGCCGUAACUGACGCUGAGGAGCGAAAGCAUGGGGAGCGAACAGG
rnacentral:rRNA from 1 species